GACGAACGCUGGCGGCGCGCCUAACACAUGCAAGUCGAGCGGGAAGCUUUUUAAGGAUUCUUCGGAUGAAUUAAAAAGUGGAGAGCGGCGGACGGGUUAGUAACGCGUGGGAAUAUACCCUUUGGUACGGAAUAGCCUCUGGAAACGGAGAGUAAUACCGUAUGAGCCCUUCGGGGGAAAGAUUUAUCGCCAAAGGAUUAGCCCGCGUUAGAUUAGGUAGUUGGUGGGGUAAUGGCCUACCAAGCCUACGAUCUAUAGCUGGUUUUAGAGGAUGAUCAGCAACACUGGGACUGAGACACGGCCCAGACUCCUACGGGAGGCAGCAGUGGGAAUCUUGGACAAUGGGGGCAACCCUGAUCCAGCCAUGCCGCGUGAGUGAUGAAGGCCUUAGGGUCGUAAAGCUCUUUCGCCUGUGAAG
rnacentral:rRNA from 1 species